GACGUAGGGCGCGAGCGUUAUCCGGAUUUAUUGGGCGUAAAGGGCGCGUAGGCGGCGCGGGUAGUCAUCGGUGAAAGUUCAGGGCUCAACUCUGAAUCGGCCGGUGAUACUCCCGUGCUCGAGCACUGUAGAGGCAGGUGGAAUUCCGGGUGUAGCGGUGGAAUGCGUAGAGAUCCGGAAGAACACCGGUGGCGAAGGCGGCCUGCUGGGCAGUAGCUGACGCUGAUGCGCGACAGCGUGGGGAGCAAACAGG
rnacentral:rRNA from 1 species